CCUACGGGUGGCAGCUGUGAGGAAUAUUGGUCAAUGGACGCAAGUCUGAACCAGCCAUGCCGCGUGCAGGAAGACGGCCCUAUGAGUUGUAAACUGCUUUUGUACGAGGGUAAAUUCAGAUACGCGUAUCUGUUUGAAAGUAUCGUACGAAUAAGGAUCGGCUAACUCCGUGCCAGCAGCCGCGGUAAUACGGAGGAUUCAAGCGUUAUCCGGAUUUAUUGGGUUUAACGGGUGCGUAGGCGGUGGGAUAAGUGAGUGGUGAAAUCCCGAGGCUCAACUUCGGAAUUGCAUCUGAUACUGUCAGGCUAGAGAGUAGUUGCGGUAGGCGGAAUGUAUGGUGUAGCGGUGAAAUGCUUAGAGAUCAUACAGAACACCGAUUGCGAAGGCAGCUUACCAAGCUACUACUGACGUUGAGGCACGAAAGCGUGGGGAGCAAACAGGAUUAGAUACCCUAGUAGUC
rnacentral:rRNA from 1 species